rnacentral:rRNA from 1 species
GACGAACGCUGGCGGCGUGCUUAACACAUGCAAGUCGAGCGGUAAGGCCCUUUCGGGGGUACACGAGCGGCGAACGGGUGAGUAACACGUGGGUGACCUGCCCUCAGCUCUGGGAUAAGCCUGGGAAACUGGGUCUAAUACUGGAUAUGACUCCACGGUGCAUGUCGUGGGGUGGAAAGCCUUGUGCGGCUGAGGAUGGGCCCGCGGCCUAUCAGCUUGUUGGUGGGGUGANGGCCUACCAAGGCGACGACGGGUAGCCGGCCUGAGAGGGCGACCGGCCACACUGGGACUGAGACACGGCCCAGACUCCUACGGGAGGCAGCAGUGGGGAAUAUUGGACAAUGGGCGCAAGCCUGACGCAGCGACGCCGCGUGUGGGAUGACGGCCU